AUGGACGCCGAAUCGAAGCCACCAGCGCCCACGACGCUGCAUGACGUCCCUGACAGGCUCCUGGAGCCGAUCCUCGCGCGCCUCAUGGCGUCACCUCUCUGCCUCGCCCGCGCGGCGGCCACCUGCAAGCGGUGGCGCCGGAUCAUGGGCCGCACACGCUUCUUCCUCAGCGAGGUCGACAGAGUCGGGUACAGACAGGCCCCACAGCCGCGCCCGGUCGCAGGAAACUACCGCAGUCGUUUGUCCUCCCUCGGCGGCCGGGAGUUCGUGUUCGUCCCCACUCCGCCGGCGGCGCGGUACGGUAUCAAGAACAGCCACUUCUCCCUCGACUUCCUCCCCGGCGGAUGCAGGAAAUGGGAGGUCGUGGACACCAGCCGCAGCCUCGUCCUCCUCGCCAAGAAGAGGAAGGGAGCGUGGAUGCGCCGCUGCUUCCCAAGCCUCCUCGUCUGCGAGCCGGCGACGCGGCGCUACCAGCUGAUCCCGCGCAUGGAGGAGAUGAAACACCACCGCUGCCUCGGCUCGUACCUCGUCGGCACCGAGAGGUGCACCGAGUUCAAGCCCUCGGGUGACAGGCGCCUUCUCGACACCAUGCAAACAUUCAAAGUGGUCUGCGUGGCCUACCAAGGACACGACCGGCUGUGUGACGACGUUGGCAGCGCCAGGGCAUGCAUCUUCGCCAGGAAGACGGAGGUCAGGAAAGGGAGACCCGAGACGCACACCUGGUACGCCGAGCGGAGCCGCUGCCUUGGCUACAACUACAACGCCCACCUCCAUGGCGCGGACUCCCUGCAUUUCCUCGGUCAUGCCGAAGGCUCUUUGUUCUGGAGCAUCAAAGGCGACAAGGAAUGCCUGGUGUCUUACGGCGGCCCAUGGUUGCCAGAGAACUUCAACGGGACGGUCCUGCGAGUCACCGACGACAGUGCCUACGAGAACGUUCAGUUUGUUUGCUUGCAGGGGAGCACUCUCCAGAUCUUUGUAAUACCCACGGUUGCAUACUUGAGUAUUGGAUGGGAGCUCCACAAGAGCCUCGAGUUGAUGGAGGCAACGCGUGGCCUGACAGGGUAUAAAGAGGAGUACUUUGACGGCUCUUUGAAGGUUGUUAUGACAAGCCCAAAGUUCAUCGUCCUCGCUCUGGAAAAUGGAACAUGGCUAUUCUCCAUCGACCUCGACACGAUGGAGGUGGCGAAAUGCAACCACAAGACAGUCGAUCAUUUGGGCAUACUGGACUUUCCGUGCGAGUUGCCAUGGCCACCUACUUUGCGCGCUUGCGUAGGGAGUUGUGUAAGGCAAGGGCAAGGCCCAUGCUCGCAUGCUUGUAUUUGUUGA
rnacentral:rRNA from 1 species